AUGCAACUGUUUCGUGAUUGCUUGUUGUCGUGUGAACUAAUGGACCUAGGGUUUACCGGGACUCCUUUCACAUACGAUAACGGCCAGGUUGGGGGUGGUAAUGUCAGGGUCCGGCUUGACAGAGCAUGCGCGGAUGAAGCAUGGAGAGAGCUUUUCCCGUUCUCACAAGUGGUGCAUUUGGCGUCGUCAUGCUCGGACCAUUGUCCAGUUUUCAUACGGGUGGCACAUGAUGAGGUACCAAAAACAAGGGCGUCACCGCGGUACGAGAUUAUGUGGGAGCGAUCUCCUGCGCUACCGACGGUGAUUGAGAACAGAUGGAGGAGGAGUAAACCGGACGGGAAUUUGGGGGCAGUACGGGAUGCCCUCAAAGCAAUGAUGACUGAACUGCGGGCCUGGAGUAAGAAAAACUUCGGCCAUGUCUCCUCGGAGAUCGAGAAACUUAGAGGAGAACUCGCGGACCUACAACUACGGGAUGCUGACAGGGCAUUGAUCAGACAAAAGAUGCAUGCCUUGGAUGAAUUACUAUAUAGAGAGGAAAUGUUAUGGCUUCAGAGGUCGAGGAUCGAGUGGUUAAAGGAGGGGGAAAGGAACACGGCAUACCUGCACCGGCGGGCAGUGUGGCAUGCAUGA
rnacentral:rRNA from 1 species